AUUGAACGCUGGCGGCAUGCUUUACACAUGCAAGUCGAACGGUAACAGGCCGCAAGGUGCUGACGAGUGGCGAACGGGUGAGUAAUGCAUCGGAACGUGCCCAGUCGUGGGGGAUAACUACUCGAAAGAGUAGCUAAUACCGCAUACGAUCUAUGGAUGAAAGCGGGGGACGGUAAGGCCUCGCGCGAUUGGAGCGGCCGAUGUCAGAUUAGGUAGUUGGUGGGGUAAAGGCGCACCAAGCCAACGAUCUGUAGCUGGUCUGAGAGGACGACCAGCCACACGGGGACUGAGACACGGCCCAGACUCCUACGGGAGGCAGCAGUGGGGAAUUUUGGACAAUGGGCGCAAGCCUGAUCCAGCAAUGCCGCGUGCAGGAAGAAGGCCUUCGGGUUGUAAACUGCUUUUGUACGGAACGAAACGGCUCUGGUUAAUACCCGGGGAUAAUGACGGUACCGUAAGAAUAAGCACCGGCUAACUACGUG
rnacentral:rRNA from 1 species